UGAUAUGAUGAUUCAACUUUAAAGUUGGAAUUACCGCCUGAAUUCCUAAUGAAGACAACAAAUGGCUGUUUCUGAUA
rnacentral:snoRNA from 1 species